rnacentral:rRNA from 1 species
GACGAACGCUGGCGGCGUGCUUAACACAUGCAAGUCGAACGGAAAGGCCCUGCUUUUGUGGGGUGCUCGAGUGGCGAACGGAUGAGUAACACGUGAGUAACCUGCCCUUGACUUUGGGAUAACUUCAGGAAACUGGGGCUAAUACCGGAUAGGAGCUCCUGCUGCAUGGUGGGGGUUGGAAAGUUUCGGCGGUUGGGGAUGGACUCGCGGCUUAUCAGCGUGUUGGUGGGGUAGUGGCUUACCAAGGCUUUGACGGGUAGCCGGCCUGAGAGGGUGACCGGCCACAUUGGGACUGAGAUACGGCCCAGACUCGUACGGGAGGGAGCAGUGGGGAAUAUUGCACAAUGGGCGGAAGCCUGAUGCAGCAACGCCGCGUGCGGGAUGACGGCCUUCGGGUUGUAAACCGCUUUCGCCUGUGACGAAGCGUGAGUGACGGUAAUGGGUAAAGAAGCACCGGCUAACUACGUG